AGUAGGGUAUGCGCUUACAUGGAAUCUAUCGACCUUGAUAGAAGAGGAGUGAUCCUAUGUGAUUUGUUAGACUGAGUUCUAAGACCUUGGCCAGGGCAGUAAUAUAAAGUGGAGAAAGAGUUUUCCACUAUCGAACUCGAGUCAAAUAAAUCUUGACAUAUGACAGACGAAGGGGUUUGACGAGUUAUCCAUGACCUCCGUCCUGUAGGGAUCCA
rnacentral:lncRNA from 1 species